rnacentral:sRNA from 1 species
GACUGAAAUGCUCUAUUUAUCCACAGAACAGAUACAGCUGGGAAAACGCCAAUGUAAUGUGCCAAUGUGCCUAAAUCCUGACCUGGAGGGACAGCCGUUGAGAAUGAGAGGUUGGUUGAGUC